UACGUAGGGCGCAAGCGUUGUCCGGAAUUAUUGGGCGUAAAGAGCUCGUAGGCGGUCUGUUACGUCCGCUGUGAAAACCCAGGGCUUAACCCUGGGCUUGCGGGCGAUACGGGCAGGCUAGAGUUCGGUAGGGGAGACUGGAAUUCCUGGUGUAGCGGUGAAAUGCGCAGAUAUCGGGAGGAACACCAAUGGCGAAGGCAGCUCGCUGGGACGGUACUGACGCUGAGGCGCGAAAGCGUGGGGAGCAAACAGG
rnacentral:rRNA from 1 species